UACAGAGGUCUCAAGCGUUGUUCGGAUUCAUUGGGCGUAAAGGGUGCGUAGGUGGCGCGCUAAGUCAGGUGUGAAAUUUCGGGGCUUAACUCCGAAACUGCAUUUGAUACUGGCGUGCUUGAGGACUGGAGAGGAGACUGGAAUUCAUGGUGUAGCAGUGAAAUGCGUAGAGAUCAUGAGGAAGACCAGUGGCGAAGGCGGGUCUCUGGACAGUUCCUGACGCUGAGGCACGAAGGCCAGGGGAGCAAACGGG
rnacentral:rRNA from 1 species